AAUGAACGCUGGCGGCGUGCUUAACACAUGCAAGUCGCACGAGAAAUCUUUAGCUUGCUAGAGAGAGUAAAGUGGCGCACGGGUGAGUAACGCGUGGGUAAUCUACCCCCGAGUUUGGGAUAACAUUGCGAAAGCGAUGCUAAUACCGGAUAAUAUCUCUGUUUCUUCGGCGAUAGAGAUCAAAAGUAGCCUCUACAUGUAAGCUAUUGUUUGGGGAUGAGCCCGCGUACCAUUAGCUUGUUGGUAGGGUAAUGGCCUACCAAGGCUACGAUGGUUAGCUGGUCUGAGAGGAUGAUCAGCCACACUGGAACUGACACACGGUCCAGACUCCUACGGGAGGCAGCAGUGAGGAAUUUUGCGCAAUGGGGGAAACCCUGACGCAGCAACGCCGCGUGAGUGAAGAAGGCUUUCGGGUCGUAAAGCUCUGUC
rnacentral:rRNA from 1 species